ACGAGUUUGAUCAUGGCUCAGAUUGAACGCUGGCGGAAUGCUUUACACAUGCAAGUCGAGCGGCAGCGCGGGGGCAACCCUGGCGGCGAGCGGCGAACGGGUGAGUAACAUAUCGGAACGUACCCAGUCGUGGGGGAUAACUAUCCCGAAAAGGAUAGCUAAUACCGCAUACGUCCUGAGGGAGAAAGCGGGGGAUCGCAAGACCUCGCGCGAUUGGAGCGGCCGAUAUCGGAUUAGCUAGUUGGUGGGGUAAAGGCUCACCAAGGCGACGAUCCGUAGCGGGUCUGAGAGGACGACCCGCCACACUGGAACUGAGACACGGUCCAGACUCCUACGGGAGGCAGCAGUGGGGAAUUUUGGACAAUGGGGGCAACCCUGAUCCAGCCAUUCCGCGUGAGUGAAGAAGGCCUUCGGGUUGUAAAGCUCUUUCAGCAGGAACGAAACGGUGGUCCCUAAUACGGACUACUAAUGACGGUACCUGAAGAAGAAGCACCGGCUAACUACGUG
rnacentral:rRNA from 1 species